UAACACGUAUCCAACCUGCCGAUAACUCGGGGAUAGCCUUUCGAAAGAAGGAUUAAUACCCGAUGGUAUAAUCCGACCGCAUGGUCUUGUUAUUAAAGAAUUUCGGUUAUCGAUGGGGAUGCGUUCCAUUAGGCAGUUGGUGAGGUAACGGCUCACCAAACCUUCGAUGGAUAGGGGUUCUGAGAGGAAGGUCCCCCACAUUGGAACUGAGACACGGUCCAAACUCCUACGGGAGGCAGCAGUGAGGAAUAUUGGUCAAUGGGCGCAGGCCUGAACCAGCCAAGUAGCGUGAAGGAUGACUGCCCUAUGGGUUGUAAACUUCUUUUAUAUGGGAAUAAAGUUUUCCACGUGUGGAAUUUUGUAUGUACCAUAUGAAUAAGGAUCGGCUAACUCCGUGCCAGCAGCCGCGGUAAUACGGAGGAUCCGAGCGUUAUCCGGAUUUAUUGGGUUUAAAGGGAGCGUAGGUGGACAGUUAAGUCAGUUGUGAAAGUUUGCGGCUCAACCGUAAAAUUGCAGUUGAUACUGGCUGUCUUGAGUACAGUAGAGGUGGGCGGAAUUCGUGGUGUAGCGGUGAAAUGCUUAGAUAUCACGAAGAACUCCGAUUGCGAAGGCAGCUCACUGGACUGCAACUGACACUGAUGCUCGAAAGUGUGGGUAUCAAACAGGAUUAGAUACCCUGGUAGUCCACACAGUAAACGAUGAAUACUCGCUGU
rnacentral:rRNA from 1 species